rnacentral:tRNA from 1 species
AAGGGGUAUGUUGUAAAAUGGUUAUACAGUAUGAUUGCAGAUCAUAUAAAAGAGGUUCAAUUCCUCCAUAU